rnacentral:rRNA from 1 species
UACGUAGGCAGCGAGCGUUGUUCGGAAUUACUGGGCGUAAAGAGUGUGUAGGCGGUGCUCUAAGUUCGGUGUGAAAUCUCCCGCUUAACUGGGAGGGUGCGCCGAAACUGGAUGCUCGAGCGUGGGAGAGGGAAAGCGGAAUUCCCGGUCGUAGCGGUGAAAUGCGUAGAUAUCGGGAGGAACACCUGCGGUGUAGACGGCUUUCUUGGACCAU